CCAACGGCCCUCUUUAGGGCCACAAAUGUCUAGGUCAUAGUUAUC
rfam:Enterobius vermicularis genome assembly, scaffold: EVEC_scaffold0002821